UCCUACGGGAGGCAGCAGUGGGGGAUAUUGCACAAUGGGCGCAAGCCUGAUGCAGCGACGCCGCGUGAGCGAAGAAGUAUUUCGGUAUGUAAAGCUAUAUCAGCAGGGAAGAAAAUGACGGUACCUGACUAAGAAGCUCCGGCUAAAUACGUGCCAGCAGCCGCGGUAAUACGUAUGGAGCAAGCGUUAUCCGGAUUUACUGGGUGUAAAGGGAGCGUAGGCGGCUCUGUAAGUCUGAUGUGAAAAUUUUGGUCUCACCCUCAAACGAGCAUUGGAAAC
rnacentral:rRNA from 1 species